GUAAAUCUGUCAGAAUUACUAACAGAGUUCUUUUAAAUCUACUUACAGGUCUGACAACCAUUGGGCCUCCAGAAACAUCCACUGGAGACUGGAUCUUCCCCAAUGAAGACCAGGACCUCCCAGAAUGCCUCACUGCGGGAACCAACAGCCUGACUGCUGACGCUGGGACCGUGACCAUGACAAUGAAAUGACCAACCACUUACCUGCUUCUUGAAGGCCUGACCCAGAUGUCAAUCCUUGACUUGACUCUGUGAAAUGGACCCAAUGUGGAUUUAUUACCCUACCUGACCUUGUGGAGACCUGACAGUGAGGCCCAUCCAGACAAAGAAUAACUCUCUCUGGAGUGCCCAAGGCCGUGACCACUCUUGAGGACCCCAUUGGAUGUACCCACUGACCUUCCAGAACAGUAGACCAUUUACUUCAACUCCCAGGCCUAAGCAGAAGCAGUCACUUACCUAGGAAAUGUGAAAGACACAGUGGCCUGAAACCACACGGUUUCAAGUUCCCCUUAGCCAGCAUUUUCCUGAAGGUCUUGAAAACAAGUAGGACAAAACUAAGGUUACACUCACAUAUCAAACAGAAUUGAGAGACUGCAGUGCACUCUGUUUUAGGGACCUGGUGUAAUCCUGCUUCACCUGACUGUGUGUUUCAACUUGAGGCUUUGCCAGUCCCCUGGAUGGACGACAUGGCUUCCUUGGGCAAGGCAGACAGUGGACUGCUCUGUCUUUUGAUCGACACCUCUUUGUGCUCAGACAUAACAAACCUAAUUUCGUUAUGUUUCAGCUCAAAAAUCUUGAAAUCCAAUUUUGAUCCCAUUCCAUCCAGAAGUGAGGAGCGCGCCUGAUGAAACAUACACUGCCACGAACAGCUUUGAGUUGAAAUGCCAUAUGCUGCCUAUCCUCUGGGACUUGAUGAUAGGGCAACCUAGAAAGUCAUUGAACCUAAAUGAAACCCAAGAAUUUGCCAAACGUAGUGAUGUCACUGUGUCUGGGAUGUCAAGCUACGUUAGUACAAUCCAGGUGUCUCCUUCAUUAUGAUGAUCACAUUGAGAUGAGAUAUUACAACAGGAGGGAUUGUGGAUUUCCACAUGUUUUGAACAUCUUUGCUUGUGGACGGAAAGUGAAGAUUGGAAGUGUCAACUGACAUUCUGAGCUUGCUGCUGGAAAUAUGUUUGUUUACGAGCAUCAUUGAGAGCCUUAAUAUUGAAGCCAUUGUUGUUAAAUGUAAUUUCAGGAUUGAAUGAAUGAAUAACUGAGGGCAGUGAUGUGUGUGAGUAAACUUUGAAUAAUCAAAUCUGCAAAUAAUCCCUGGCACCCAGAUUGGAGAUAAAACUUGAAUGAGAGAUGGGUCUGAUAAAAUUCUUCACAAAUGGUUAGAAUCAAUUGAUAGAACGGCAGAACCAUUUUAACAUGGUUGGAGAAUUGAUCAGUUGUCCAAUUACGGAAUUGUUGAAAUCACUGGCACCAGUAACAUAAUAAUUAAUGAAACAAGCCACGUUCAUAUUUAAUCCCAGAAUCGUGCUCAGUAUUUAAGGUUUAAGUUUUAUGACAUGAAGGCAGCAUUAAUAUAGCUGUUGCUCUUGGUUCAAUCCAAUAUUUUUAGUCUAAUUUCUCCUUCUGCCACAGGCACACAGUUGGUGCCAGGAUGAGUCGGAGGUACUGGCUUUGAUCAAACUAGCAACAGUACAAUGUUAACGAGCAAUAGUACAACGUCAACUAGCAACAGUACAACGUCAACAAUGCAGCAACAAAGUCAAAUGGAUCUCAUACAGACAAAAAAGCCUGGCCAGAAACUAAUCAAUGCUAAUGGACAUACUGCAAAGGAAGGAGCAGAACACCUGUAGUUCUUCCCACACCAUUACUCUAUGUGUCAUCCAUUUCUCCAGUGCCAACCCUACAGCCAUUAAUUCAGGAACACACAUCUUGUGAAUGACUUAAAAGAUGAAAUCCACGAAUUCUAGAAUGACUAUAAGAAAUAGAAACUUGUGUAGGUCAUACAACACCUCAAGUUUACUUUGCCAUUCAGUAGGAUCAUCGCUGAUCUAACAUUCUUCCUACUUUCCUUCCUCUUACCCAUAAUCCUUGAUCAAGAAUCUAUCUAUUUCUGCCUUAGAUAUACACAAAGACUCUGCCCCACUGCUCUCAAUGGCAGAGUUCCACUGACUCAUAGCUUCUGAGAGAAAAAAAUCCUGCUCCUCCUCUUGUUCUUAAAUUGGCACCUCUUUAUUCCGAGACUAGGUCCUUUACCUUAGAUUUUCCCAUGGAGUUAAAUAUCCUUUUAGCAUUUACCUUAUCAAGCCCCUUAAGAAUCUUGUAUGUGUCAAGAAGAAUGGUGUGAGCAAGUUGAAGUUUGAUAAAUGUUACCCUGUUAUUCAGGAGAGAGGGAGACAAAUUGCAAGGAACAGCAGGUCAAUUAACGUAACAAUUCUGAAAUUAAAUAUGACGAGAGUCUUAAGAAUCAAAUUAGAUUAUUAAUACAUGAUCUCACAAAGACAGCACCAUUUUGCACAGGGAAAUAUGACCGACAAAUAUGAGAGUUUUUAAACAAUGCAAGCACUUGGGUGGAGUAAAUGUACAAGUAAAUAUACUAUACUUAGAUUUACAAAAAGCAUGUUGGGUUAGAUUGCUGAAUUAGAACCAAAGCUGAUAUGAGAUGAUGCAUUUUUGGAGGUCAAAUGCAAGAGGAAAGUAUGCUGUAAUUUGGAAGGACCCUUAAGAGAAUUAACAUUGAGAGGAAUCUUUGGGUACAAGUCCAUAGCUCCCUAAAACUGGGAACACAAGUGGAAAAGGGGCUAAAGAAUGUGGGAGAGGUCUCUGGAGGAAGCCUCCAAGAGGCUCUGACAAUCCCAGUCAAAUACAGAAUAUUUAUACAUUCUUGGAUUAUGAUUAUCACAUAUCAGAUUGAUGUCAUCGUAGUUUGCUAGAUUAAAGAUAUCAACAAUAACCACUUCUCUUGAACAAAUAACAUUGACCUACAUCCUUGCUGUGAUCUAGUCUGACUGUUAAAAUCCUUGUAAUCUUGUGACUACUCAAGGUAAUCAUCUAACAUCAUCGUGUCACAAUGGCCAUAUUGCUGUCAUCAUAGCUGACUGUUGUUUGGUCAUUGGACUUUCUGCUCCUUCCUGCGUGUGUGCUAAUGCAACUAACUCCUAUAUUGUGGAUAAGGUUUGUUCCCAACUGCUGACCAUUCCCUCUGUACUGGUGCUGGGCCAAAUUACACAAGUUUGCAUGACUGAAUACCUUAUCUGGAAACAUCUUAUUUUCUCCAGAAGUGACUCUGCUAAGCUUAUUUCUUUACCAAUGUGUUUAUUUCACUGCGCCAUGCUAAGCUAUAACUAUAUUUUCCUACGAUUCUCAUCUUCAGUACUCUGUAAAGGUUUUUGGCCAUGCCUAAGAUGCUUAUUACCUGUUUAAGGCACUUCUCCAAUGCAUGAAAACAACUGCUUCUCUAAUACUAGCCACCUGUCUAUCUCUUGAGUUACCCUUUAGUGAUGCAGAUAAGUAUAAAUUGUACAAUUACAACUAUAAACACUGAUACUACUACUGAUAUGAUUUGAAUCCAUGGCUGCAGCUGAAUAUUAAAACCCCAGUUUCAAUUCUUAUCUCAGAACCUUGGAUCUGGCAAAGUCUUAUCCGCAUUAUCAGA